UCCGGUUCGUCACCGGCAGUCUCCUUAGAGUGCCCACCAUAACGUGCUGGUAACUAAGGACAAGGGUUGCGCUCGUUACGGGACUUAACCCAACAUCUCACGACACGAGCUGACGACAGCCAUGCAGCACCUGUCUCAGCGUUCCCGAAGGCACCAAUCCAUCUCUGGAAAGUUCGCUGGAUGUCAAGAGUAGGUAAGGUUCUUCGCGUUGCAUCGAAUUAAACCACAUGCUCCACCGCUUGUGCGGGCCCCCGUCAAUUCAUUUGAGUUUUAACCUUGCGGCCGUACUCCCCAGGCGGUCGACUUAACGCGUUAGCUCCGGAAGCCACUCCUCAAGGGAACAACCUCCAAGUCGACGUCGUUUACGGCGUGGACUAC
rnacentral:misc_RNA from 1 species